GGCCUGGUGGUGUAAUGGUUAACACGCCUGCUUAAUCUGUGAAAAUCGGCUGCGAUAUUUACAGCAGAGGAUCCUUGUUCGAAUCAAGGUCAGGUCG